AUUGCMUGMCCARURACUAUAGUUUAACGGCCGCGGUAUCCUGACCGUGCAAAGGUAGCAUAAUCAUUUGUUCCUUAAUUAGGGACUAGUAUGAACGGCUAGACGAGGGAUCAACUGUCUCUUAUUUUUAAUCAGUGAAAUUGACCUUCCAGUGAAGAGGCUGGAAUACAAUAAUAAGACGAGAAGACCCUAUGGAGCUUAAAUUAACAAGCUUAAUCAUUAUACCAACCCCCUAAUGGCACAAAACAAAAAAUAUAAGCUUAAAAUUUUGGUUGGGGUGACCUCGGAGAAUAAGAGAUCCUCCGAAAGAUGUAUGACAUAGACCUACAAGUCAAAGUAACCCAAUUAUCCAAUUGACCCAAAAAUUGAUCAACGGACCAAGUUACCCUAGGGAUAACAGCGCAAUCCUAUUUAAGAGUCCAUAUCGACAAUAGGGUUUACGACCUCGAUGUUGGAUCAGGACAUCCCAAUGGUGCAGAAGCUAUUAAUGGUUCGUUUGUUCAACGAUUAAAGUCCUACGUGAUCUA
rnacentral:rRNA from 1 species